rnacentral:rRNA from 1 species
ACGGAGGGGGUUAGCGUUGUUCGGAAUUACUGGGCGUAAAGCGCACGUAGGCGGAUCAGAAAGUUGGGGGUGAAAUCCCGGGGCUCAACCCCGGAACUGCCUCCAAAACUCCUGGUCUUGAGUUCGAGAGAAGAGUGAGUACUCGAGUGUAGAGGUGAAAUUCGUAGAUAUUCGGAGGAACACCAGUGGCGAAGGCGGCUCACUGGCUCGAUACUGACGCUGAGGUGCGAAAGUGUGGGGAGCAAACAGGAUUAGAUACCCGGAAGUC